rnacentral:lncRNA from 1 species
UGUAAGUGAAAUCAAAGAAGAUGAUUAAAAUAUCAGUGCCAAGGACAUAAGAAGACAGCACAGGAAGAUAUCUUCAAGAAGACAGCGUGGAAGAUGUAGCUUUGGUAAUUUAAAGAAAGUGGAAGACACAGAAACAGUUACGCGGUAAGUGCUGGUGUGAGGUAAUCAGGUAUGUACAGCCACUACUGAGAAGCAGUAAGAGCCCGUGGGAGACCAGGAGCACGGAUGUACAUUGUAUUUCUAUAAGACUUUGCUAUAGUAGUGAGAGUAGGGCUUCAAAUUUUAACA